UGCAUGCGAGAUAGGUGCUGUAGAUUGUACCCGAGAACGCCACAAUAGACGAACAUGGUUUAAUGGUUAAUUUUCUUAUCAGAGUCAUGAACUGGAUAAAAGCGGCGUUUACCGACUGUGAACUGUGACUGACUUCAUCAGUGAACCGUCGGGUCAGCAUUCUGUUCUGUGACUUUUGUCAAGGCUUGUGUGCUAGUCAGGAGAGGACGUUAGAUUUGGACUGUCGAUUGGUUAUUAUUGGUUUGGCUGUAUGAUUUGAAAUUAAUUUUAAGAAAUAUCUGGACGGAUCGUGAUCAAAGUUACGAUUGUGAAGAGUUGAGAUAUUCUUCUUGUCAAUAGAAGUGAGAACAGUGGUUACAACACCCCAGAAUAGGAAUCUGUGCUCUUGACAGGAUUCUCACCACCCCUUAGAUGCGAUGGAUCAAAAUCUCAAAGGAUGGUUUACUGAACGAUCCCCCAUGUGGCCGGGUCAGGCGUUUUCUUUGCAAGUGAAGGAAGUUCUUUUGGAGGAAAAAAGUCCAUUCCAGAGCAUUCAGGUCUU